GCGGAAGGAGCUCGGGUACGGUUGAGCAAUAGAUUGUGGAUCUAAAGGUCAUGGGUUCGAAUCCCAUCUUUCGCCC
rnacentral:tRNA from 1 species